rnacentral:rRNA from 1 species
GAUGAACGCUGGCGGCGUGCCUAAUACAUGCAAGUCGAGCGAACAGACGAGGAGCUUGCUCCUCUGACGUUAGCGGCGGACGGGUGAGUAACACGUGGAUAACCUACCUAUAAGACUGGGAUAACUUCGGGAAACCGGAGCUAAUACCGGAUAAUAUAUUGAACCGCAUGGUUCAAUAGUGAAAGACGGUUUUGCUGUCACUUAUAGAUGGAUCCGCGCCGCCUUAGCUAGUUGGUAAGGUAACGGCUUACCAAGGCGACGAUGCGUAGCCGACCUGAGAGGGUGAUCGGCCCCACUGGAACUGAGACACGGUCCAGACUCCUACGGGAGGCAGCAGUAGGGAAUCUUCCGCAAUGGGCGAAAGCCUGACGGAGCAACGCCGCGUGAGUGAUGAAGGUCUUCGGAUCGUAAAACUCUGUUAUUAGGGAAGAACAAAUGUGUAAGUAACUAUGCACGUCUUGACGGUACCUAAUCAGAAAGCCACGGCUAACUACGUG